rnacentral:rRNA from 1 species
UAAGUGAAUAGUGAAAUCUGGCGGCUCAACCGUACAGACUAUUAUUCAAACUGGCAAACUCGAGAAUGGUAGAGGUAACUGGAAUUUCUUGUGUAGGAGUGAAAUCCGUAGAUAUAAGAAGGAACACCAAUGGCGUAGGCAGGCUACUGGACCAUUUCUGACACUGAGGCACGAAAGCGUGGGGAGCGAACCGGAUUAGAUACCCGGGUAGUCCAUGCCGUAAACUAUGGAUACUA